rnacentral:rRNA from 1 species
GACAGAGGUGCCGAGCGUUAGGCGGAAUCACUGGGCUUAAAGCGUGUGUAGGCGGACUUCUAAGUACCUUGUGAAAUCCCUACGGCUCAACCGUGGAACUGCUCGGUAUACUGGUUGUCUUGAGCCACUUAGGGGCAGUCGGAACAGACGGUGGAGCGGUGAAAUGCGUAGAUAUCGUCUGGAACGCCAAAGGUGAAAACAGACUGCUGGGAGUGUGCUGAUGCUGA